AGUCUCCAAGGACGGCGCUGUCCAUUCGCCCCGGUGCUGAACUGUGCGCGACCAUUUUGGUAGGUGCUCUCGGGCUGGAGAGCCAUGCCUGGUCAUCAUCGCUGCAUUGAAACGAGAAGCCAGGCACGAUUGGAAACCGCGCUGGCUGCCGCUCACAGCCGCUCAAAUACAACCUAGGGAGAAAUCUCCGAGAGGGAAGCGGAUGGCGAGCAAACCCGAGAGAAGAAGUCGGAAGUUGGCCAGGCCGUGGGAGCCCAGCAGCCUUGCAUGGAUUUGAGAUCACCGCUCGUCGGCGCUUCUCUGUUGGAUUCUCCUCUUCCUCCUUCCUUUCCUACGGGCCACAGGACGUACAGUUGUGGAUUUAUUGCCGCGGUGCGUGCAGCUCCAGCCGCCUCUUCGCCGCUGCCGCCGCCUCUUCUUCUUCCUCCUCCUCCUCUUCCUCCGCCGCCGCCGCCACCAGCAGCAGCUUUCUGACUCUCUUCGGUGACGGGUAUUCUUGGGUGGAUAAUACGGAUUACGUUGUUAUUGCUUAAGAAUACGCGUAGUCGAGGAGAGUACUCGCGGCAGGCGGGGGCGACCGCCCCCCCACCCCCAGUGGUUCCUUAAACGGCUCUAGUUGCCAAGGUAGCGCAUCAUUUUCUCUUCUUUUCUUUUUCUUUUGCUCCUCUUCUUCUCUUUUUGUGGUACCUCGCAACCUCCGGCUGUAUAAGAUCUCUCUCCCCCCACCCGCCACCUCUCAACCGGGGCGGGGUUGUCUCAUUGCAGCUUCCCACUCCAAGACUGCGGAGAAGGGAGGGGGGAAUGCCUGCGAAGUCCUGCCGUUCUGCAUUUGCCUUGUCUACUCGCUUAAUGCGGAUUAUAUCGAACCCCAGAUCAAUGGGUACAAUCAGAGCGGAAUGCUUCCACGCCUUGCCAAGGGGGAAGUCUAAUCUGCGUUAAGCGAUGGGGAGGGUAGAAGCUGGCGGCCACAGCAAUUUGUCUGAGUAAACGAAUGGCAGAGUGGAAGAUGGUGAUUUGAGUAUAUGUGAACCGAAGAUGGAAAUUGAAGUAGAUCUCAGCGAGGACUAGCGGACUAAAGUGUUCCACUGUAAUCUCUAGUUUAAGUAUAUCCUGGUUACCAAACCCCGCUUACUACGAUUAUUCUUGCUCUAUCUCUGUAUUUUGAUUUUGGAUGAGAGAUUUGGGGGAAAGGCAGUGUGUUGGCUGAGAGCAAAGCAUAAGUGAGCGCGGGCGACCUCCUUUGGAUUUUGGCAUCCCUUGUCACCUGUCCAUCUCUAUUUGGUUUAGCCCUGGUGCUUGGGGGCGCCUUCCUGCUUCCCAUCAAAUAAGCUGGAGAUCUGACCAGCUGUUCCCAUACAUUUCUGUUGGGUUUGAGUAAUGGAUCCUAAAUAUAUUAAACUUGGGAGCAAGCCCAAUGGACUUGAAAGGAAGUUAUUAUAUGCCUAGACUCUUGUGUGUUUGCUGAGAAAUAAAGCCAAGUGUAUACACCAACAAGCUUUAUUCAGAAGCUAGGCUGCUUUUCCAAACACAUUUCUUGGGAAGUAAAUCUUGUUGAGUAAGGUGUCCCAGGAAGAAUUGGGGUUGCGGCCGUACUGGAAACAGACCCAUAGCUUAACCACAGACAACCAGCUCUCUUGAGUCAUGGAGCCACAAUCGCUCUUUAGUACGAUUGUGUUUAUAGAUCAACUUCAUUUACUGAGGUGGGGAAGAGGAGUCAUUUGCAUCUUUCGCCUUCCUGGAACACUUAACUUUCAAGUUGAGACUGCAACUUGCUGUGGAAGCAUCUUUCCUUUCUCCGCCGAAAAUGACCAUGUGAAAGGAAGACACAAAGACGCGUGUGAUUGGGGCAAAGGAUCCGGGCUCUCUCCUCCCCCCCCCCACCCACUCCCCGCACUCUGAGCACAGGGCAUGUGCAAGGAGGGGACUCUUAGAAGCCGCUUCUCCCCAAGUUUAUAAGGCGCUUUCAAGAAGGAAAAAAAACAGCAGGGAAAGAUUUAUUCCAAAAUGAAAAAGCAAAGGAAGGCAUUUCCCUUCGUGCCCAGCCUUUCCUGGUGAAAAUAAAUAAUA